UCCCCCUGGCAAUGGGCAAAGGGGCACCUUGUUAGUGGUUUUACUCUUAUAUCAGUCAGGGGCAGAGCAGAUGGCAGUCCUUUGUUCAUCAUGGCUUGAUUGCUUGGUUUGGUGGCCAAAGCUAUCUUAUGCCUAGGACCCAUAC